CAGCUGGUUGAUAGAUGUAUCCUGUAAUGGAAGGAGGAGGUAAUGGGGGAAACAACAGAGCAGUUAGCUUGUGUGAUUGUCUGCAUUUCUGAGAAUACUUUGACGCCCCUUGGGUGUUCUCCAGUUGGCACUAUAUCUCCAGAGAUUGUAUUUGCUGGGAUGGAAUAACAGAGCAUUUGACUUUCCCAACCAGCCUUUCACUUGGCUGUGCUACAAUGGGUUUAGUGUUUGUUGCUUCUUCCAUAGCUGUGCUAGGGGCACAGCAGAUUGUAUAAACACAAGAAAAAGGCAGAUUCAGAAAAGAGAGCAAUAAAAAGAAGGAAUAUGAAGAACCACGGGGGAUGUGUAGAGGCUGCAGACGACCUUCCAGAGACAAGCUUUUGAAGUGGGAUUCACUUGAAGACAGUAGAGAUGGUGAGAGCAAAAGGGGAAGAUCAACAGAGUCAAGAGACAAGGAUGGCGAGAAGAGAGGAAACAAAUGGAGUUGUCAUCUCCAUGACAGAGCCAUGGAGAUGGAAGAGGUUGUUGUUUGUCAUCAAAGCCUUAAGGAUGGAUUAAAAGAUUGUGGAGGUUGACAGGGUGAGCAGAAAAAUGAUGGUUCCAAGUUGUCCUGGAUUUAUGAGGGCACAGCCAACAUCUCCAGACUCAUGGUCUCCCUCUCCUCACUGCAUUUGAUGGAUGGGUAGAUACUUCUGGACUACCCUGACAAAUUUCAGGCCACGAGGAGGCGUGUGGAGUCAGGGGGUGAGGACCCAUUGUCACACAACACCAGGGUGCAUGGGCUGGGGUACAUACAUUUGGAGAUACUGUUUUUUGUAAAGGUCUGAGUUAGGAAUGACAGGAAGAACGCCUGCACGAGUGUAGUGAACUCAAAGCAAAAUUCAACAUUUUGGAAAAUAAGCUUCACUUUACAGUGGAGAGAUGGAUAACCAGCUGGAUACUUGACAGGGAAAUAGGGGUGCUACAGCCAGAAUCCAGAUACAUACCACAGAGACUGAAAACAAGGGGGAAAUGCUAAUCUCCCUAGCAGCAGGCACUCAUCCUAUCUUCAGAACACAGUCCAAUGUUCCCAAAUGAUUUAGAAUCAUAUACCUUUUUACAGCAGACAAUUUGACUUUUUGUCUUCAGCCUCAACCAAUGCUGAAUAAAGUGACACUAGUUAAGGCAAUUUGUCAGAUUUCACAGAGCUCCAGCUGGCACCACAAAACAAGGCUUUAUACGACUUUUUUUCACGUAUGCAGUUGCAUUCCCCAACACGUGUUAACAGACAUUGAUGUGUACAAUCGGUAAAGUUCUCUUUUAGACUUUUACAGUCUCUUAGCACAAAAUGGCCAUGAUAUAUCUGUAAUUGCGGGUGUUAUUUUAAGUCAUGGCUCAAUAUACCAAUGACUCAACGGUUACUUCAGAGGGUGCUGAGAUACUUUGGCUUUAAAAACCCACUUUCAAGCCUCUGAUUUGGAAAUAACAUCCACAGUUUUGCAAUGAAGAGGACCAUGUGGGCUGAGUAGACCAGGUCAAACAUGAUUUGCAUCAUGAUAUCUUCUGUGGGUGUUUCUGUUGGAUUCUUGCUUACUCUAUUUGUUCAAUUGAGAACUCCACCAUUCUGUCUACUUCACUCCACAUUAAUCUGUUCCAGAAUCAAACUACUGAAUCCUUCUCUUUAAGUGACAGCGCGCUGAUGUGAUUGGAUGCGUCAGCAGGUGUCGAGGACGGACUGACAUGACCUCUGCUGAAGGAUGUUAAGUUGGCAUGCCAAGUUUUCACAGAAGGAAGAUCAAAUAGAAAAGUGAAACGAGGGAAAAAGAAAUAAAGGCUGGCGUCAAGAGCAUACUGAGCAGUUGACUGUGAAAAAUAGGGCAGGAGGAAAAUGGAGAGCAAGUCGAGUAAGAAGCAAGUCGGCGAGGCAUUAAAAGGGGAGGCUGAAAGCGAAGAUCAGGAGAGAGAGAAAGAGAGCGAGAGAAACUCAAAGAGCAGUCGAUUGUCACUAACAGCCCGGAGACACACACACACACACACACACACACACACACACACACACACACACACACACACACACAGUUGCCUGGAUAUGUAUGACUGCAAACAAAAGUAACACAAAGGGAGGGUGAACUGAGGGAGCCAGGUAAUGAGAAGAGCACACCAAAUGCAGGUUGAGAGAGAAAG